rnacentral:rRNA from 1 species
GAUGAACGCUGGCGGCGUGCCUAAUACAUGCAAGUCGAGCGAACAGACGAGGAGCUUGCUCCUCUGACGUUAGCGGCGGACGGGUGAGUAACACGUGGAUAACCUACCUAUAAGACUGGGAUAACUUCGGGAAACCGGAGCUAAUACCGGAUAAUAUAUUGAACCGCAUGGUUCAAUAGUGAAAGACGGUUUUGCUGUCACUUAUAGAUGGAUCCGCGCCGCAUUAGCUAGUUGGUAAGGUAACGGCUUACCAAGGCAACGAUGCCUAGCCGACCUGAGAGGGUGAUCGCCCACACUGGAACUGAGACACGGUCCAGACUCCUACGGGAGGCAGCAGUAGGGAAUCUUCCGCAAUGGGCGAAAGCCUGACGGAGCAGCGCCGCGUGAGUGAUGAAGGUCUUCGGAUCGUAAAACUCUGUUAUUAGGGAAGAACAAAUGUGUAAGUAACUAUGCACGUCUUGACGGUACCUAAUCAGAAAGCCACGGCUAACUACGUG